CAGCCUACACUGGGUGUGUGUGUGUAAAGCAAGCAGCGUCGCCGCUUCACUUAUUCCAGGCUGGUUGUGCCCAGACCACAGCUCCAUCCAGCACACGCCGUUACAUCGUCCGCUGCUCUGGCCCCCUGCACCUCCUCACACAAGGGAUCCAACGAGGGAUUAACCCGAAGGCAUUGUACGGUUGUCGGACAAUGGUGACACCUCCACGUCUGAACCGUCGAACGUUCCUGUGGUAGAGGACGAUGCCCACAGCCCCUCCACGAUCCAGCCAGAUCCCAGGCCCCCUGCAUCCAGCCGACAGACAAAGCAAUCAGCCCGUGUACCGAGAUUCACAAGGAGCUGCUUCAUGAAGAGUUAAAACAAUUUCUGCGGAUUAAGAAAAGUCGCCACGCCGAAUUAUUUCCUGAGGCUGACAUGGAGACCGUGGGUCAAGGCCGGGUUGCCAAGGAGCUGAAGAUGACGGAGAUGGUGGAUUUGAUUGUGGAGACGGAGCCUGAGUUCGGAGCGUCGGGAUUCAGCGUGACUGGUGGAGGGAAGGACGGGAUCUUCAUCAAGGAGGUGCUGAAGGAUUCACGGGCCAUAAAGGCACUGAACCUGAAGGAGGGUGAUCAGAUCCUCUGUGCCCAGGUCUUCUUCGACAAUGCCAAGUACGAGGAUGUGGUGAAGAUCCUGCAGAGCGCCGAGUCGUACAAAGUCGCCUUCCGCCUCAAGCGCACGGUGCCCAGUGCUGACGUGGCCGUUUCAUCUGAGACUGGCAACCUCGAACUGAAAGGACCAGAAGCCAAAAAGACAAAGCUGACUGUCAAGAGCAUCUCACCUGUAAAAAAGACCAAGCAGCUGAUGAAGGGAAAGAUCCUCGGCAAGGAAGAGUCAGCUCUGGAGCUAGACGUGCCAGUGGACGUGGAGUUUGCCUUUCCCAAGUUCUCCAGGUUUAAGCGGCUGAGUAUCACUUCUCCCAAAGACGCGGAGGCCAUGAAAGGUGAAGGCACGCUGAGACACCCCGAGGUUGAGGCCGAGCUUUCCCUGGGUGAGGGGCACGGCAAAGGCAAGAAGAAACGGCUCAGGUUCCCUGGCUUCCGGGCGAGCGAGUCUGGCAAGGUCAAGGUUGAGGUCGGAGUGGAACCCAAGGAGAAGUCCACCGUCUCGGUGAAACCGCCACGGGUCGUCGGAACGAAGGAGGCGAAAGGCGCUAAGACAAAAAUUAAGAUGCCUUCGUUUAACCUGGUCAAAAGGGGGACUCCAAGUCCAAACGCCAAGGGCGGGUUGAAAGACUCUGGGAAAGUGAAAGUAUCUGCUGAUGGAGGUACAGCAGAAAGCAAGUUGGUGCUGGGACUCCCAUUGCAAGCACCAAAGGUGGAACUAGAUCUUGGUUUAUCCAAAGCAGAGGGUGAUGCACAUGGACAAUCGGCUGAAGGGGAGGUCAGUGUAAAAGGACCAAGCUUUAAAAUCAAAAUGCCCUCGUUUGCAAUGAAGGGUGCGGAGGCAAUGGAUGUCGUUGAUGCAAAGGUCAAGGCAGGAGGCAAGGCAGCGGGAGAUGAGGUGGAAGGACUGGAGGGCAAGUUUAAAAUGGCCCAGAUAGCAAUGCCCACCAUUGACAUUGCUGUGCCGAAAAUGAAACCGGUGGAAGAUGAUGUGAUGGUUUCAGGAGUCGAGGUUGCGGUUGGCAGUCUUAAAACAUUGUGUUUGGAAGGAAGGAUCAAAGAACUUGCGCAAAAGGCAACGACGUUUGACAUUUCAGCCCCUAAGAUCCCAGAUGUUGGGAUCAGUCUCCCGAAAGCAUCGGUGGAAGUCUCUGCAGCAGGACUUGGACAACGGGAGGCCCGGACUGGAAAAGUUGACAUCCAAUCUUCCAAAAUCAUCACCGAAGGAUCUGAAGCGAAGAUGAAAAUGCCCAAGGUAUCUCUGCCCGAAUUUGGCAUGUCGGCCAAGGGGCGAGAGGGUACGGUGGAGGUGGCUUCAGCUGUUUCAGAACCUCUGUUGAAGAUGCCAACGUUCGAGGUGUUCCUGCCCAAAUUGAGACUGGGCGACGCUUCCCCGCCAACGACGGAGAAAGAUGCGGCGGUAUCUGGGCGGCACGUCUCGAAGGUUAACGUGGACAUUAAGGGUCCUCAGCUGGAAGGUCUGAAACUGCCAUCGGUGAAAAUGCCGACCAUUGACAUCGCCGUGCCCAAGGUCACACUCCCAGAUUUUCAGCUUCCUACGGGAAGAGCGGAGGUAUCCGGGCCAGGCGAUGGGAAGACAAUGAAGGUAUCGGUGGGAAAGCUGGGAAUGGGGGACCAAGAGGCCGAAUCGAGCGCCGAGGGCUUCGACCUGCAGCUGAAAAUGCCAAAGGUGUCACUGCCAAGUUUGCCGUCCUGUGGGAAAGAAGAUGAGGUGGGAACGCCCGGUGGCGAUGUCAAAACCAAGUUCCCCGUAAUGUCCAUGCCCAAAUUUGAAAUUGCCGUGCCAGGAUUGAAAGGUGCCGACGCCGAGACUGGACUCUCGGUGGGAGGUGAAGAAAGAGACUCGGGCUUCAGUCUUGGUAAGUUGCCGAGCGUUAAGAUGCCAAGCUUCGAUAUAUCUGCGCCCAAGGUGAAGAUGCCAGAUAUCAACGUUCUCUUUCCGUCGGGCAAAGCGGAGGCCCCGGCCGCUGUCCUUGGUGCCACCAAGGCUCCGAAGGUUGGAGGGCCAAAAACUGGCGGCCAAACGUCUGAAUCGAGCUUGGAAGGGUUUGAUUUGCAAUUCAAAAUGCCCAAGGUGACACUGCCCACAUUUGGCAUGUCGGCCGCCAAAUCUGAUCUGAGCGGUUGCGAGGCCACAGUGGACGGUAAGAUGCCAGCUAUUGACUUGUCAGUGCUCAAGAUGAAAGUGCCAGAAGUCAACAUUGAUGUCCGCCUCCCUAAAGGAAAAGCAGGUGAUGCCAAGUCGCCCAAGGCUGGUGUAGAUGGCCAGAUAACUGCAGCAGGUAUUCAGGGACCCGAUGUCGCAUUCCACAUUCCAAAGUUAUCACUCCCAAAGUUUGAUAUCUCGAUGAGGGGGAAGGAGGAUGGAGGAGAUGAUGAGCUGAAGACAGCCGGGGACAGGGAUAAUGGGCUGAAACUUAAGAUGCCCAAAUUUGAGGUCGCCCUGCCCAAAGUGGGAUUGGUUGAUGUUGAGUUGUCUGGCCCAACCGUUAAGUCGGAUAUCAAAAAGGAAACGAAAACUUCGAAGGAAAAAGGUCAAAGCGAGGAAAUUCCUUCGAUGAAAAUGCCGACCAUUGAUGUGUCAGCUCUACAGGCCAAGGUGCCAGGAGUUGAUAUCAGCCUACCUUCAAUGAAAUUGCCUUUCUCUGCUGAAGGGGACUCCAAGGUUGACAUCCAAGGUCAUCCUAAGGUUGAAGGGCCCGAUGCUAAAGUCAAAAUGCUCAAAAUAUCACUCCCAAAAUUUGGUUCCAAGGGAAAAGAGGAGAGCGAGGUGAAUGGCAGCAUGGGGAGAGUUGAGCUUAAAGUGACCCAUCCAGAAGGCAAGGCUAAAGGGAAGGCCCUUGACUCCGGUGCCAAAGAUGCAGAUUUGGAUGAUGUAAAGAUAAAAGGGAAAGAAGGCAGGUUCAAGAUGCCCAAGAUCAAAAUGCCAACCUUUGGAACCUCCAAGAAAUACGAGGAGGACAUUGAGAUCCCUGGAGCUACACUUGGUGCCAAAGCCCCUGAAACCAAGGUCAAACGCGGUUCUUUGGAUGCUGAUGCGGAUGGAUCUGGCGGUAAGCUGAGAAUGCCCAAGGUGCUAAUGCCAUCCAUUGGGAUUUCGGUGAAGGAGGCGUUACUGCCCAGGGUGGAGGUUGACGUGUCGGAGGCGGAUCUGAAGACGUAUGGCGGGGAGUUAAAGAUUCCCAAAGUGAGAGGCGAGGCGGAGGUGACCGAUGCCGAGGGGAGGCUGAGGAUGCCGUCGGUAAAAAUGCCAGCUAUUGACAUCUCGAUGCCAAAGGUGAAGGCGCCCGAGGUUGACCUGAAUUUCUCCGUGCGUGAGGGUGAAGCCGCGCUCAUCGGCUCUCAAUCCGACGAUGGGGCCUUCAGGCUGAAGAUGCCCAAGGUGGGAAUGCCUAAGUUUGGGAUGUCAAAGGACAAGGAACCAGGGGCCGACGCUUCCAGCCCUGGGCGUUACCACAUGGACAAUGCUGAUGGCAAGGCAGCAAGUUUCACAGCAAGAUUACCCAAGGUGGACAUCUCUAUGCCCAAAGUGAAACAAUCCGAUGCUGACAUUGAUAUGGACGCUUCCCUCAUUGAGGUGGAGGGGUCGGAGGGAAAGUUUAAGAUGCCCAGUUUCACCUUACCAAAGAUCUCAUCUCCAAAAAUGAAAGCACCAGAACUCGAUAUUGAAUUCAACGUCUCCAAAGACAAGAAGGCUUCGGGUGACACCAAAGUUGGCGCUGAUGGACCGGGGGCUGAGUUUCAGCUGAAGAUGCCUCGGGUGUCCUUGCCCAGUUUCGGUUUGUCUUCACCGGGCACCGAUGCCGAUCUUCUUCCCGCGGAGAAAUGCAAGGCCAAGUUGAAAGCAGAAGUGAAAGCUCAACUGGAGGGAGGGGGAGGGGAUGUGGAGGGGCAUGAAGACAAGUUCAUGGGAGGGAGAAUUAAGAUGCCGAAGUUUCGGAUGAUGACAAAGGACAAAGUGGGAGAGGAUGCAGCUGAAGCGGCUAAAUCUGAUACAGAAACAGAAGGUAGCAAGUUGAAACUGAAGCUACCAAAAUUUGGGAUUUCAUCAAAAUCGACCGAGACGGAAGCUGACCUGGGGAAGGAAGGAUCUGAUGGGAAGGUCAAAGAAUCCAAGUUGAAAAUGUCCAUGUUCGGUCUCUCUCUGGGGAAAGAGCAAAAGGAUGGAGUGGCGGGGUCUGGGCAGACAGAGCGAGAUAUCGGCGCUGGAGCUGCGUUCAAGGUGAAGAUUCCAUCCGUUACCAUCGCAGCCCCAACGGUGAAAGGACCGGAUAUUGACGUGGACAUCAGUUUCCCAAAAGGCAAGAUCGCUUCCAUCGAACAUGGAGCUAAAGGUGAGAAGAAGGAUGGAAAAGUAAAAGGCGAAAGCCAGGUUCUGGUUGCAAGCACCGAUGGGUUUAAAAUGCCCAAGUUGACCAUGCCUGACUUUGGCAUCACCGGGAGCUGCGGGAAGGAGGAGGAUGGGAAAUUGGCAGCCAAGGCCAAGGUGGCGGGAACGGAGGUGCGAAGGUCGAAGGUUGAGGCAGGUGUGGAAGGCCCAGGGGCGGACACGGAGGGCAAGCUCCAGAUGCUGAAGGGGAUGAUACCCAAAGUCGAGAUUGGCUUGUCCAAAGACGCGGGAGAAGGAGCCGAGGUCGGAGAAGGUCGGAAGUCCGGUGGAGAUGCGGUCAGUUCGGGAGCGAUGUCCACAAUGAUAUCCUUCAAGAUGCCCAGCGUGGAGAUCUCAUCACCAAAAACCGGUGAUCUGUCCUCCACGGGGGAUACUAGAGGCGGCAACAUUGAGAUGAGCUCGGCCGGUGUAAGGGAGGUUGAUAGCGGGGCCCUUGAGCUGAAUGUGCCCAAGGUCCUGUUGCCUUUAUUUGGGACCUCCAAGGAGAAGAGUCAAGAGGCACCCAGAGACCGGACCAGCGUUGGGGCCAAACUAGACAUGAAAGGUCCACAUGUUCAAGUGGACGCGUUGGGUGAAUCAGAGGGCAUGCUGAGCAAGUUGAAGGACAAGAUGUCCAAGGUGGGAGUGGAGUUGCCCAAAGUUGCACAGCAAGAGGAGGUGGGGUUGUCCAUUGGCCUUGAGGGCAAGGCUCGGACAGUCAAGGCUGACGCUGCCCGGCGGGACGCGGGCCACGAGGGAUCCGAUCCCGAAUCGAAGAGUGGGAAAACCAGGAUGUUCGGAUUCUCCGUCCCAAAGUUGAGGAGUCCAGAAGGGCGCUUGGAAACCCCGUCUCCAAAGGCCAGGGACCGCAGCCGAUCUCCAGCGGCGAAGGGGAAGACCAGGGGAAGCUCUCCAGAGAUGGACUCCUCCCCGGAGGCCAAGCUGAGAGUGGCCAGGGUGAAGAUGCCCAGCUUUAGCAUUUCCUGGCCCAAGUCUAAGACCCUGGAGUUCAACGGGAACGGAGAGGCAGACGACUCGACGAGAAGAGGCGAUUGGGAGAUCCAAAGCCCUCGGAAAAAGGGGGCCAAAACCGAGGAGGUCGAGAGCCCGGAUAGCCCAGAGGGGAGGUCCAAAAUGAGGCUAAAAUUGCCACGAGUUAGUUUCACACCGGUCAAAUCUCCCUCGGUCAAUAUAAUGAGCGGGGAGAGUCCGGGGGUCCAUGUCAACGGGGAUAGCGAGGGGUCGGGAAGCCCUGGCAAGAUUGUCAAAAUAAAGCUUCCAAAAGUCGAGUUCACCUCCCCCUACCAGAAGGUCAGAGACAGUGACGCCGAACUCAACCUUCAACUGGUCAAAACGGAGGUGUCCGCAUCCAAAGACCAGUCCUUCGAGACCUCGUCUCCCCGCGCUGAUCGAGGGGAAGCCAAAGGGUCAAAGAUGAAAGGGCCUAAAAUAACCUUCUCCGGGUUCAGGAAGAAAGGAGGAGAAAAGGGGCCUUCUGACGAUGAGACGGAGGUAUCCACUCUGGUCACUUCCAAGGCCAGGACGGAGUUGGUUCUGCUGGAUUCAAGGGUGGGUCACUCGAAGUCCAAAAGCCUACUAGGUUUCACCUCCGGUAAAUCCAAAGAGCCGGCAACGGCGUCGGUCCCGGGCAAGGAGUCCAAAGCGAAGAGCGACCAGGGGUCAGAGGGCAAGGACAAGUCGGCGAAGUUCAAGCUGCCGACCGUCUCGCUGGGCAGCAGGUCCGCCACCGUGGAGUACGACAACAACGCUGGGUGGGAUGGCGAGGGCGAGGACGGCGCCACGCGGCACUUUAAGCUGCAGAUGCCCCGGGUGGGUUUCACCGCCACCCACCAGGAGCAGCAGGAGGAGAUGGUGGGGGGGAUCGCCUCCGUGACUGUGUCCAAGGGCAGAAAGCAGGAGAAGGCCAGCAUUUAGGAGCGGCCACGACAGAGAAGGGUCAGAGACUGGACUGGUUUACUUGGCUUCGCCAAACUCGCCAACACACACACACACACACACACACACACACACACACACACACACACACACACACACACACACACACAUAUAAGCGCACAGACAUACAUACAUGCAUACAAAUGCACAUUUGCAUAUUAACACGCAUAUAUAAACUCACACAUUUAUACACAUAUUUAUAAACACACACAAAUGCACACUUAUAAACACACACACACACACACACACACACACAUACAUACAUAUAUACACACACACACACACUCUGCAUUAACGGCGUUCUUCCAUUUUAAGCAUUGCCAGAGGAAGGUUUUAAUAUGUAGGAAUAGAAUGAUGUUUGAAGCUGGGCUACCCCACAAGGUAGUUCCACUAACAAGGGGCAGCAGAGGUUGCAGAGGCAACUGUUAUGUGACACUUACUUACCAACGUGCCCACCCAGCCCACAGACAACUGCCUCUCAGCUGCUGUCUCCAAACCGGUUGCAUUAGAUUGGCAGUGUUAGCAAUGAAUCAUCAUGGCCUUGCUAUGUUCGGCAGGGGUUGCAAUAAGCGAGUGAGCUUUGAAAUGGAAGAGCGAGGGAAAUAUAGACGUGCCUCUGCAUGUUUGCGCUGAGAGGUGUCGGGGAGUAGAGUCUUGAGGAAGGAUGAGGCGGUGUGAAUCCCACACAGCGAGUGAGAUGAAGUAAUUCUACAGCGAGGUGCGGCGAGUGGAGGAGGGGAGGGGUGGGUCAUGUGGGGUGGUUGAGGGGCGAUAGGUCCCAUGGAGUCGUUGGCAACUGACAGGGUCCCAUGUAGAGAUCAGGAGUGAAUGGGUCAUUGAGUCACAGAGAGAUACACACAGCGUGGAAACAGGCCCCUCGGCCCAACUUGCCCACACCACACUGGCCAACAUGUCCCAGCUACACCCGCGUUUGGCCCUAUAUCCCUUUAAACCUGUCCUAUCCAUGUACA